rnacentral:tRNA from 1 species
ACUCCGGUGCGCGGUCAGAGCUGCGGACUUUUAAUCCGAAGGUCGUGGGUUCGAGCCCCACAGGGGGUA